AAGGACUAUAUCAUACAAUAACUGCACCUAAAGGUUCAUCAUUCUAUUCUGCUGGGUAGCCACUACAUACUGCUAGGUGUCACUGGUGGAUGGUGAGACUCACAGGGAUUAUCUCGAUGGUCGAUAAUUCCUGGUGAGUUGAGUUGGAAUUGUUUCAACCCAUUGAAAGGAGUUUUCAAUGAUAUUGUGAUAGAGAUUG
rnacentral:lncRNA from 1 species